ensembl:lncRNA
GAGCCGCAGACGGAUGCUGUGUUAGGACCGCGGCGAUCUAGGCCUUUCCCCGCGAGACGGAGACGGAGGCGCGAGGGGACACUGUCAGCUACCCGCCUUCUGGCCUAAUGGCCCCUUCCGACGCGCGGACCCCCGCUCCCGGGGAUCGCUCCCUCCGGAGCCCGGUUGGGCUGGCCGGGGGCGGCAAUUUGGCCUGAUCUUCGUCUUAUUAAUUCGGAGCGACUGUGGGGAGGCCACUGAGAGAGGAGGCGGUCCCAGCGGAGGAGGCUUCGUGAUUCCUUGCUCCCUCCCGUCCUCCUGUCUCGCACCCACCUGCCCACCCACUACUCAGGACGCCGCUCUUUCGCGGGUUUUAUGCUGGAUGGAGGGGGCGCCGCCGAGGAAGCCAAGCCUCCCCCGCUAACUCUGCCUCUCCAGGUCUUCAGGUCGACAAGGCCUCUCUAUCCGCUGUGUUUUUAGUGCCAGUGACCUCUCAGAAAUUAUACCUGUCCGCUCUUGAUGGUAGCCGAAGGUCGGCGCGUGAUGCGAAGGGCCAGUGGAAGAUAUUUUUUAUGGCACUAAGACUCAGGACAGGAGAUGGAGAUUUCUUUGCCACUUUUAGUUGUUGGGUCUAGGGAAGGGGUGAGUUACGCCUCUCCAGUCAGCCUGCGCCAACUGGACCAGCUUCUGGGGACUGGAGACGAAGAGAGAACCAGCAUUCACCUGGCCCCCAGGCCCGCGACCCACAGAGCUCCAACCCGCCCACCCCCAGCCCCCCAGGCUUCUACCCUCCUAGGUCUUCUGUUGCCUGCUGAUCCGGUGAGCCCUGGCCAGGGGCGGCAGUAACGCCCCACAGGGCCCCUCACUAAAGGAGCGAUGGGGUGGGUCUGCAUGUGACAAGGAGACAAGGAAGCAGAGGACCUAAGAAAGGACACCACCCCAGAUCAGACUGAUGCUAACAGAAGCCAGCUUUAAAAUUGCCCUGCUCUUUUGAUCCAAACAUAAAUGUAUAAAGCUAGCUGUUAUUGGUUGAAAGUAUGCCUGUGUGCCUUGUUUGCAUGGCAAAAGAAAUUCCGUUUUGUGUUCACAGCUGAAGCUUCCUUGGAAUAGUUGACUUAUUCACAGCUUUUACAUUUUGGGAACCAUGACAUUAGAACUGAAUACUAGGAACGGUAAUCUUUUUGCCUUUCCACAAUUGAAAAUACAUUCGGAGCUUAUUUCAGAUAAAGCAGAACAGUUUCUAAGCCUAUUGCACUCAUGCUUUAAAGUCAUGACUCCCGUUAUAGGAAGGAGGUCAAGAACCAUGUUCCAAUGACUACCUUUUAAAUUAGCUGUAUUUAAUUAAAAGACUAAAUUUAAAUUUUUGUUUAGUAGUUGAUUACAAUGUUGGCGUUUAAAAAGUGGAGGAUUAUACUUUUUCUCUCAUUUUUGUCUUUAAUAUGCAUUCAGAAUGAGUGCAUAUUGAACAGUAGUUGUUAAGGUCUUAAAUUAACUUGAUGUGAGACAAGUGAGAAAUAUAAUACUGUCUUGGAAAACAGUUCCUAAAUCUAAUUUUUUUUCAGGCUUCAUGCAUAAAAAUCUAGCAGAUAAAGAAUAACAUAUUGUUAGACUGUAAAACAUUGCUGCAAUAUGAGAUGAAUAGGUAACCCAAGGAGCAAAAUAUUUUAAAUAUGAUAUCACUUAUAUGUGGACUCUAAAAAAACCCCAAACUCAUAGAUAUAGAGGACAGAUUGGUCAGUUGCCAGAGGAAGGGGUGAGUGGGAGUGGUCAAAAUGGGUGAAGGUGUUCAAAAGGUACAGACUUUCAGCUAUAAGGUAAAUAAGUACUGGGGAUGUAACAUACAGCAUGGUGACUAAAGUUGAAAACAACGUAUUGUAUAUUUGAAAGUUGCUUAGAGGGUAGAUCUUGAAAGUUAACACACAUGCACACAGAAUUUGUAACUAUAUGAGGUGAUAGAUGUUAACUUGUAUUGUAAUCAUUUCACCAUCUAUACGUAUAUCAAACCUUCAUGCUGUAUACCUGAAACAAAUAAAAUGUUAUGUCAAUUAUAUCUC